GCACGGAGUUAGCCGAAUCCUUAUUCUUACGAUACCGUCAAGCUGCUUCACGAAGCAGUGUUUCUUCUCGUACAAAAGCAGUUUACACACCAUAGAUGCUUCAUCCUGCACGCGGCAUGGCUGGAUCAGGCUUGCGCCCAUUGUCCAAUAUUCCUCA
rnacentral:rRNA from 1 species